ensembl:lncRNA
GUGUUAGAUGACUGACAAGAUCUAUGGGGGGGCCCCCUUUGGGCCCCCCCAUACCAACUUAGUCUUCAAAGGAAUCUAGUGCCAUGGGACUCCAGUGUCUUCAAAACAUCCUCGGAAUACAUGUGUAUGAAUGGUCCACCGAAGGGUUGAUCUGGAAGCCACCACGGUCCACGCAGUAAUCUGCUGCGUGGGCCGUAGUGGCUUCCAGAGCCAUCUUUCGGUCUUGGUCAGGAUUUGUUAAAGUUGCCCUUCAAUGUAGCAGGCUACGGGUUUCUGAAGAAGCCUGCUUUACGUAGCAUUGGAGUACAAAUAUUGUGCAAAAUGCUCAUGUAAUUGCACUAGCACUGGUAACCUGUAGAUUAGCUUAGUUUAACGUCAUUCGGUGCUGUCUGUCAAAUGUGUGGCUUACUUUAAGUCCACAAGGCCCUCUGGUAAACCACGUUGGAACACCCCUGGACAAGGGUCGUAUGUGUAUUUUGCAGUGUUGUACGGAUUUCGUCUGUGCUGUGGUUCCUCCCAGCCUGAGGGUGGUGCUACCACCAUUGGUGUCUCUCCAGGUGCUGGCUGUCGAUUGGUGCAGGGGCUGGAGGAGCUACUAUAAAUGGGCCGCUGGAGACAAUCACGCUCUUUCUCUUGACCCUGCUUCCAACUGCACCAGGUUUUAUUAUGUGGC